AACCUCCGCAAUGUGAGAAAUCGCGACGGGGGGAUCCCAAGUGCCAUUCUUAACGGGAUGGCUUUUCAUUAGUGUAAAGAGCUUUUGGAAUAAGGGCUGGGCAAGACCGGUGCCAGCCGCCGCGGUAACACCGGCAGCUCUAGUGGUAGCAGUUUUUAUUGGGCCUAAAGCGUCCGUAGCCGGUUUAAUAAGUCUCUGGUGAAAUCCUGUAGCUUAACUGUGGGAAUUGCUGGAGAUACUAUUAGACUUGAGACCGGGAGAGGUUAGAGGUACUCCCAGGGUAGAGGUGAAAUUCUGUAAUCCUGGAGGACCGCCUGUUGCGAAGGCGUCUAACUGGAACGGUUCUGACGGUGAGGGACGAAAGUUAGGGGCGCGAACCGGAUUAGAUACCCGGGUAGUCCUAACCGUAAACGAUGCGGACUUGGUGUUGGGGUGGCUUUGAGCUGCUCCAGUGCCGAAGGGAAGCUGUUAAGUCCGCCGCCUGGGAAGUACGGUCGCAAGACUGAAACUUAAAGGAAUU
rnacentral:rRNA from 1 species